GACGAACGCUGGCGGCGUGCCUAAUACAUGCAAGUAGAACGCUGAAGGAGGAGCUUGCUUCUCUGGAUGAGUUGCGAACGGGUGAGUAACGCGUAGGUAACCUGCCUGGUAGCGGGGGAUAACUAUUGGAAACGAUAGCUAAUACCGCAUAACAGUAGAUAUCGCAUGAUAUCUACUUGAAAGGUGCAAUUGCAUCACUACCAGAUGGACCUGCGUUGUAUUAGCUAGUUGGUGAGGUAACGGCUCACCAAGGCGACGAUACAUAGCCGACCUGAGAGGGUGGUGGGCCACACUGGGACUGGACAACGGCCCAGACUCCUACGGGAGGCAGCAGUAGGGAAUCUUCGGCAAUGGACGGAAGUCUGCCCGGGCAAGCCCGGGGGAGUGAAAAAGUUUUUCGGAUCGAAAAGCUUUUUUGUAAGGGAAAAACGGGUGGGGGGGGGGAAAGUUCAACCUGGGCCGGUUUUUUACCAAAAAGGGGCGGCUAACUACGU
rnacentral:rRNA from 1 species